AUUGAACGCUGGCGGCAGGCCUAACACAUGCAAGUCGAGCGGAUGAAGGGAGCUUGCUCCUGGAUUCAGCGGCGGACGGGUGAGUAAUGCCUAGGAAUCUGCCUGGUAGUGGGGGAUAACGUCCGGAAACGGGCGCUAAUACCGCAUACGUCCUGAGGGAGAAAGUGGGGGAUCUUCGGACCUCACGCUAUCAGAUGAGCCUAGGUCGGAUUAGCUAGUUGGUGGGGUAAAGGCCUACCAAGGCGACGAUCCGUAACUGGUCUGAGAGGAUGAUCAGUCACACUGGACCUGAGACACGGUCCAGACCCCUACGGGAGGCAGCAGGGGGGAAUAUUGGACAAUGGGCGAAAGCCUGACCCAGCCAGGCCGCGUGUGUGAAGAAGGUCUUCGGAUUGUAAAGCACUUUAAGUUGGGAGGAAGGGCAGUAAGUUAAUACCUUGCUGUUUUGACGUACCAACAGAAUAAGCACCGGCUAACUUCGUG
rnacentral:rRNA from 1 species